ensembl:lncRNA
GCCCGUCAGAGAGGUGGACAAGGAGCCCGUCAGAGAGAUGGACAAGGGGCCCGUCAGAGAGGUGGACAUGGGGCCCGUAAGAGAGGUGGACAAGGGGCCCGUCAGAGAGGUGGACAAGGGGCCCGUCAGAGAGGUGGACAGGGGGCCCUUCAGAGAGGUGGACAAGGGGCCCGUCAGAGAGGUGGACAAGGGGCCCGUCAGAGAGGUGGACAUGGGGUCCGUAAGAGAGGUGGACAAGGGGACCGUCAGAGAGGUGGACAAGGGGCCCGUCAGAGAGGUGGACAUGGUGGGC